CUUUUACUCAGGACCUUCUCACAGCUCCCCAGGUCAAUGAGGUGCAGCCUGCUUCGUCCGCCUGACACUGUGCCAAUAACAGAGGAAGAACCAGCGGAGGAGCUUACCAAGCCUGACUUGGCCGAAGCAGAAGAUGCAGCCGUCUGCACCAUUCACCACAGACUGGAUGACCUCAGCUACUGUCCCUGAGCACACCUCAGCCUGUGGAAAACACACAGAGACAGCCACAACUCAGCCCCACCUACUAUAAAACAGCAUGGGUCCUCUGGGGUAAGCCUUCUGCAGCAGAGGCCCCUUCCCAUACAUCACACAGCAAACAAGGCCUCCAACAGCAGAACAGCUUGCUGUUACUGUUAGCCACCAGCAGCGCCGUCCCAGCGGCACAAUCUAGCAGCUUGGCCUCAGCUCUGCAGCAGCAACAUACUGCAGGCUUUAGCUAUCAGCAGCUUAUAUGGGGAAAAUACUUGCUUCAAGU